rnacentral:lncRNA from 1 species
UUCUGAAAGCUAACAUUACAAUUUAAAGGAAAAAUGUAAACUACUUCUAAUAAAAUAACUGCAAAUGAAACGUGGCCUAAUAACCGUAAAUGGAAACGUGGGCAUCCCCAUUAUCUCCUUUAUUUCCGCGCAACUACGUCUAAGACUAUUUCAAAGAAAGAGCACAACUACUUCUAAGACUAUUUUAAAGAAAGAAAUCCACCACCCAUUAGUUAGCAUCAUAACAAUCCACCCAACUUGAAAUCACCUUGUCCUCAAGGUGAAACUGAGGGUAAGUACGGGAAAAACGCCAUUUAUCUUCCCAUGUUGCAUCUUCCCUUGAUUGACCAACCCAUUUAACCAAAAUCUCUGUUUUUGGCCGAUAUUUCCCUUUCUGCACGACUCGUUCUUCCAAGAUACCCUCUGGUUGAGGUGCCACCUGUAACUGGACAGGUUCGUUGACAGGAGGUGGGAUCGGUUCCGGGACAGGGCCUUCUCUUUUCCGUAACAAACUCACAUGAAACACAUCGUGAAUUAAGGAACCAGGAGGUAAUUCAAUCCGAUAUGCAACCUUUCC